rnacentral:rRNA from 1 species
UACUCGAGUUGCGAACGGGUGAGUAACACGUGGGUGAUCUGCCCUGCACUUCGGGAUAAGCUUGGGAAACUGGGUCUAAUACCGGAUAGGAGCCAUCUUUAGUGUGGUGGUUGGAAAGUUUUUUCGGUGUAGGAUGAGCUCGCGGCCUAUCAGCUUGUUGGUGGGGUAAUGGCCUACCAAGGCGGCGACGGGUAGCCGGCCUGAGAGGGUGUACGGCCACAUUGGGACUGAGAUACGGCCCAG